GUAUUAAUAAGCGGAGGAAAAGAAAACAACUGUGAUUCCCUUAGUAAUGGCGAAUGAACGGGGAAGAGCCCAGCACCGAAUCCCGUAGUGCUUCACUGCCGGGAACUGUGGUGUUUAGGCAAGCCUUUCCGGCAUUUUGAGGCAGUCAAAGUCCCCUUGAGGGGGGCCAUCGCCCAUAGCGGGUGCAAGGCCCAUAAGACGCCCAUUGUGUCGGUUGGAGCUGCCGUGGAGUCGGGUUACUUGAGAGUGUAGCCCAAAGUGGGUGGUAAACCCCAUCUAAGGCUAAAUAUAACCACGAGACCGAUAGCGCACAAGUA
rnacentral:rRNA from 1 species